UGAGGAAUAUUGGUCAAUGGAGGAAACUCUGAACCAGCCAUCCCGCGUGAAGGAUGAAUGCCCUAGUGGUUGUAAACUUCUUUUAUAUGGGAAUAAACCUGAGUACGUGUACUCAGCUGAAGGUACCAUACGAAUAAGCAUCGGCUAACUCCGUGCCAGCAGCCGCGGUAAUACGGAGGAUGCAAGCGUUAUCCGGAUUUAUUGGGUUUAAAGGGUCCGUAGGCGGACUAUUAAGUCAGUGGUGAAAGUCUGCAGCUUAACUGUAGAAUUGCCAUUGAUACUGAUAGUCUUGAGUGUAGUUGAAGUGGGCGGAAUAUGACAUGUAGCGGUGAAAUGCAUAGAGAUGUCAUAGAACACCGAUUGCGAAGGCAGCUCACUAAACUAUUACUGACGCUCAGGGACGAAAGCGUGGGUAGCGAACAGG
rnacentral:rRNA from 1 species